GCCUGUAGACCCAGCUACUCAGGAGGCUGAGGUGGGAGGAUCGCUUGGCCCCAGGAGUUCUGGGCUGUAGUGCGCUAUGUUGAUUGGGUGUCUGCACUAAGUUCGGCAUCAGUAUGGUGACGUCCUGGAAGCAGGUGACCACCAGGUUGCCUAAGGAGGGGUGAACCGGCCCAGGUAGGAAACGGAGCAGGUCAAAACUCCCCUGCUAGCAGGAGUUGCAAUUCUCGCCUCUGAUAAAAUGGACUUUAAAGCAACAAAGAUCAAAAGAGGCAA
rnacentral:SRP_RNA from 1 species